GUUUACAGCCAUACCACCCUGAAUGCACCCGGUCUCAUCUGAUCUCGGAAGCUAAGCAGGAUCAGGCCUGGUUAGUACUUGGAAGGGAGAGUACGGUUUUGUCUCUA
rnacentral:rRNA from 1 species